UGGGGAAUAUUGCACAAUGGGCGAAAGCCUGAUGCAGCAACGCCGCGUGAGUGAUGAAGGCCUUCGGGUUGUAAAGCUCUGUCUUUUGGGACGAUAAUGACGGUACCAAAGGAGGAAGCCACGGCUAACUACGUGCCAGCAGCCGCGGUAAUACGUAGGUGGCAAGCGUUGUCCGGAUUUACUGGGCGUAAAGGAUGCGUAGGCGGAUUUUUAAGUGAGAUGUGAAAUACCCGGGCUUAACUUGGGUGCUGCAUUUCAAACUGGGAAUCUAGAGUGCGGGAGAGGAGAAUGGAAUUCCUAGUGUAGCGGUGAAAUGCGUAGAGAUUAGGAAGAACACCAGUGGCGAAAGGCGAUUCUCUGGACCGUAACUGACGCUGAGGCAUGAAAGCGU
rnacentral:rRNA from 1 species